GCCGGAAUAGCUCAGUUGGUAGAGCAGAGGACUGAA
rnacentral:tRNA from 3 species